rnacentral:rRNA from 1 species
UAACGGCGAGUGAAGCGGCAAAAGCUCAAAUUUGAAAUCUGGCUCCUUAGGGGGUCCGAGUUGUAAUUUGUAGAGGAUGCUUCGGGUGCGGCCACGGCCUAAGUUCCUUGGAACAGGACGUCAUAGAGGGUGAGAAUCCCGUCUUGGGUCGUUGGUCCACGCCCGUGUGAAGCUCCUUCGACGAGUCGAGUUGUUUGGGAAUGCAGCUCUAAGCGGGUGGUAAAUUUCAUCUAAAGCUAAAUAUUGGCCGGAGACCGAUAGCGCACAAGUAGAGUGAUCGAAAGGUUAAAAGCACCUUGAAAAGGGAGUUAAACAGCACGUGAAAUUGUUGAAAGGGAAGCGCUUGCGGCCAGACUCGAGCGCGGGGCUCAUCAGGUGCGUGUCACCUGUGCACUCCCCGCCGCUCGGGCCAGCAUCAGUUCUGACGGCCGGUCAAAGGCCCCCGGAAUGUGUCGUCUCUCGGGACGUCUUAUAGCCGGGGGUGCAAUGCGGCCCGCCGGGACUGAGGAACGCGCUUCGGCUCGGAUGCUGGCAUAAUGGCCGUAAGCGGCCCGUCUUGAAACACGGACCAAGGAGUCUAACAUCCACGCGAGUGUUCGGGUGUCAAACCCGUGCGCGCAGUGAAAGCGAACGGAGGUGGGAGCCUUAGGGCGCACCAUCGACCGAUCCUGAAGUCUUCGGAUGGAUUUGAGUAGGAGCGUGGCCGUUGGGACCCGAAAGAUGGUGAACUAUGCCUGAAUAGGGUGAAGCCAGAGGAAACUCUGGUGGAGGCUCGCAGCGGUUCUGACGUGCAAAUCGAUCGUCAAAUUUGGGCAUAGGGGCGAAAGACUAAUCGAACCAUCUAGUAGCUGGUUCCUGCCGAAGUUUCCCUCAGGAUAGCAGUAACGAAAUUCCAGUUUUAUGAGGUAAAGCGAAUGAUUAGAGGCCUUGGGGUUGAAACAACCUUAACCUAUUCUCAAACUUUAAAUAUGUAAGAAGCCCUUGUUUCUUAAGUGAACGUGGGCACUAGAAUGGAACGUUACUAGUGGGCCAUUUUUGGUAAGCAGAACUGGCGAUGCGGGAUGAACCGAACGCGAGGUUAAGGUGCCGGAAUGCACGCUCAUCAGACACCACAAAAGGUGUUAGUUCAUCUAGACAGCCCGACGGUGGCCAUGGAAGUCGGAAUCCGCUAAGGAGUGUGUAACAACUCACGGGCCGAAUGAACUAGCCCUGAAAAUGGAUGGCGCUCAAGCGUGCUACCCAUACCUCGCCGCCGGGGUUGAAAUGACGCCCCGGCGAGUAGGCAGGCGUGGAGGUCCCGUGAC